AUUGAACGCUGGCGGCAUGCCUUACACAUGCAAGUCGAACGGUAACAGGUCUUCGGAUGCUGACGAGUGGCGAACGGGUGAGUAAUACAUCGGAACGUGCCCAAUCGUGGGGGAUAGCUCGGCGAAAGCCGGAUUAAUACCGCAUACGAUCUACGGAUGAAAGCAGGGGAUCGCAAGACCUUGCGCGAAUGGAGCGGCCGAUGGCAGAUUAGGUAGUUGGUGGGGUAAAGGCUCACCAAGCCGACGAUCUGUAGCUGGUCUGAGAGGACGACCAGCCACACUGGGACUGAGACACGGCCCAGACUCCUACGGGAGGCAGCAGUGGGGAAUUUUGGACAAUGGGCGCAAGCCUGAUCCAGCAAUGCCGCGUGCAGGAUGAAGGCCUUCGGGUUGUAAACUGCUUUUGUACGGAACGAAAGGGCUCUGGUUAAUACCUGGGGCUCAUGACGGUACCGUAAGAAUAAGCACCGGCUAACUACGUGCCAGCAGCCGCAGUAAAAC
rnacentral:rRNA from 1 species